AAUUACCUACGGGACGCAGCAGAGAGGAAUAUUGGUCAAUGGUCGGGAGACUGAACCAGCCAAGCCGCGUGAGGGAUGAAGGUACAGAGUAUCGUAAACCUCUUUUGUCAGGGAACAAAGGCGGGGACGCGUCCCCGGACGAGGGUACCUGAAGAAAAAGCAUCGGCUAACUCCGUGCCAGCAGCCGCGGUAAUACGGAGGAUGCGAGCGUUAUCCGGAUUUAUUGGGUUUAAAGGGAGCGCA
rnacentral:rRNA from 1 species